ACAGGUUCUUGAGAAUUGCCCUGUACCAAGGUGACAAAAGCAGUAAAAAGGUUCGAAAAAUCCCCUCUGCUGCUGCAAAUGCUAAUGAGAGCAAGGAGCCUUUGACAGAUCCCACUCUGUUGUGUUGUGCUUUCAAGAAACAUCGAAUAUAUUUAUUCAGUCGAAGAGAGCCAGAGGAACCAGAAGAUGCAACAAAGGGAAGAGAUGUAUUUAAUGAAAAGCCUCCAGCUGACGAAUUGUUGGCGGUA
rnacentral:misc_RNA from 1 species